rnacentral:tRNA from 1 species
CAGGGAGACAACAAAAUGUUUAAUAUUAUUAUUUUGUCACCUUAGGUCGAUCGGUACCUCGCAUUCUUAUACUUAUUAAGGAUUUCAUUUCCUAAGUUUUUCUAGGUCACACCCAUAAUUUUUCCUGGGCCAUUAGCUCAGGUGGUUAGAGCGCACCCCUGAUAAGGGUGAGGUCCCUGGUUCAAGUCCAGGAUGGCCCAUAUCUCUAUAUUGGGGGUAUAGCUCAGUUGGUAGAGCGCCUGCUUUGCAAGCAGGAUGUCAGCGGUUCGAGUCCGCUUACCUCCACUGAUUACCACCUCUUUAAGAAUUUAUAGAAAGGAAAUUUUUUGAGUUGUGAUCAAAUUCUGAACGAAUCUAGCUUCCUAAUGCAUUCAUUAAGAUGCUGGAUUCAUUGAAUUAAUUUCAUUGUUUUCAGAGAACCUUGACAACUGCAUAGAUUAUUUUAAAGACAAUAAGCAUCUUUAAUGAUGCAGAUUUAUUAUUUGUGCAAAUGCAUUAAUAACAAUUCUAUUAAGCUGAUGCUUCAAAUUUUGAAGUUAUU